rnacentral:rRNA from 1 species
GUAGGUGGCAAGCGUUGUCCGGAAUUAUUGGGCGUAAAGCGCGCGCAGGUGGUUCUUUAAGUCUGAUGUGAAAGCCCCCGGGCUCAACCGGGGAGGGUCAUUGGAAACUGGGGAACUCGAGUGCAGGAGAGGAAAGUGGAAUUCCACGUGUAGCGGUGAAAUGCGUAGAUAUGUGGAGGAACACCAGUGGCGAAGGCGACUUUCUGGCCUGUAACUGACACUGAGGCGCGAAAGCGUGGGGAGCAAACAGGAUUAGAUACCCUGGUAGUCCACGCCGUAAACGAUGAGUGCUAAGUGUUGGGGGGUUUCCGCCCCUCAGUGCUGCAGCUAACGCAUUAAGCACUCCGCCUGGGGAGUACGGUCGCAAAGACUG